UACGGGGGGGGCAAGCGUUGUUCGGAAUUACUGGGCGUAAAGGGCUCGUAGGCGGCCAACUAAGUCAGACGUGAAAUCCCUCGGCUUAACCGGGGAACUGCGUCUGAUACUGGUUGGCUUGAAUCCGGGAGAGGGAUGCGGAAUUCCAGGUGUAGCGGUGAAAUGCGUAGAUAUCUGGAGGAACACCGGUGGCGAAGGCGGCAUCCUGGACCGGUAUUGACGCUGAGGCGCGAAAGCCAGGGGAGCAAACGGG
rnacentral:rRNA from 1 species